rnacentral:misc_RNA from 1 species
GGCCCCAGAGAGGAUACAGCAUUUGUAGCAUAAAAUUUCUUCCAAAUUUCUGAAAAAAGUGUGGCUGAAGAGGGCAUACAUGUGCUUGUCAGAAUUCCCUAUUCCCUCCCUCUAGGUAACUUUCUUUGUGAAGUUCAAAUUAUAAUUAUCCUCCUCUUCAAUAGCUAGCAAUGAAAACUAACUUCAGUUUGUGAAAUAGCACAAAG